rnacentral:rRNA from 1 species
UUUUCCCGAAGAAGAAGAGCUAAUUAUAUAAAUAUCUUAGUUUUAUUUAUUAAUAUUAAACAUAUUAUGUCUAUAUAUAAAAUUAGGGGCGAAAUACCUACAAUUUUUCAGAUAUCUGGUUCUUAAUGAAAUGCAUAUAGUGCAGAAGAAAAUUUGAGCUAGAAGAUACUAAGGUCUUUUAUUGAUUUAAAAAUAAUUUGACAUCCUACCUACGGAAUAAGACUCUUUUGGGUUAUAGGCUAAAGAAAAAUUUUUAUUUUUAUUUUUAAAUUUUUUAGUUAAGGCUUCUUAAUGACUAGGUUGAGAAUAUAUCCUGUUUAAAUUAGUACUAUAGAGAAAUCUCCUUCAAGGAAUUCGGCAAAUUUCUCUUCGACUGUUUAUCAAAAACAUAGCCUGCUGAAGUUUAUAGUAGGUUUCCUCUGCCCAGUGUAUAUUUAUAAACGGCCGCAGUACCCUGACUGUGCUAAGGUAGCAUAAUAAAUUGGCCUUUAAUUGGGGUCUUGAAUCAACGGGGUCACGAGGAGUAACUGUCUCUCUGGAGGUUAAUGGAAUUUCCUAUAUGAGGUGAAAAUUCCUCUUAGUAUUUAUAUUAGACAAGAAGACCCUCAGAGCUUUAAAUACAUAUUUUAAGAAUAUUUAAAUAUAGCUUUUCUGUUGGGGCGACAAGGUAGCAUAUUAAACCUACUUAAUUAACUACAUACAUGACAGAUUUAUCAUGGGAGAUAAAGCUACCUGAGGGAUAACAGCGUAAUAGAUUUAUCUGCUUGCGACCUCGAUGUUGGAUUAGGUACUAAGUUCUUUAGAAGAGUUCUUAGCUAGUUCUGUUCGAACACUAUAACCUACAUGAUCUGAGUUCAGACCGGCGUAGCCAG